rnacentral:rRNA from 1 species
UACGUAGGGGGCAAGCGUUGUUCGGAAUUACUGGGCGUAAAGAGUGUGUAGGCGGUGCUCUAAGUUUGGUGUGAAAUCUCCCGGCUCAACUGGGAGGGUGCGCCGAAAACUGGAAUGCUUGAACAUGGGAGAGGAAAGCGGAAUUCCUGGUGUAGCGGUGAAAUGCGUAGAUAUCAGGAGGAACACCUGCGGUGUAGACGGCUUUCUGGACCAUUGUUGACGCUGAGACACGAAAGCGUGGGGAGCAAACAGG